CCCUUAGAUGUUCUGGGCUGCACGCGCGCUACACUGAUGCGCUCAACGAGUUUUAACCUUGCCUGGAAAGGUUGGGUAAUCUUUUUAAAACGCAUCGUGAUGGGGAUAGAUUAUUGCAAUUAUUAAUCUUCAACGAGGAAUUCCUAGUAAGCGCGAGUCAUCAGCUCGUGCUGAUUACGUCCCUGCCCUUUGUACACACCGCCCGUCGCUCCUACCGAUUGGGUGUGCUGGUGAAAUGUUCGGAUCGGCCGUUUGUCGCGGUUUCCGCGGCUCGUGGCUGAGAAGUUCAUUAAACCCUCCCACCUAGAGGAAGGAGAAGUCGUAACA
rnacentral:rRNA from 1 species